CACCAACCAGGUGAUGAAAUGUACAACCCGUACUCUAAUAUCAUUUGGCAACUAGCCAUUCAUGCCACCAACCAGGUGAUGAGAUGUACAACCCGUACUCUAAUUUGGCAACUAGCCAUUCAUGCCACCAACCAGGUGAUGAAAUGUACAACCCGUACUCUCCUUCAUGCCACCAACCAGGUGAUCAAAAGUACGCAUAGUACUCCAAAUUAUACAUGAGCAUUACUCAUGUCAUUCAUACAUAAACAUUCAUGAGCAUCACUCAUGACAAUCAUACGUAAACAUUCAUGACCAUCAUUCAUGUCAACAUUCAUGAACAUCACUCAUGUUAACAUUCAUGAGCAUCACUCAUGACAACAUCCAUGACCAUCACUCAUGUCAACAUUCAUGAGCAUCACUCGUGACAACAUCCAUGAGCAUCAUUCAUGUCAAUCAACAUAAACAUUCAUGAGCAUCACUCAUGUCAAUCAGCUUCAAAAGCUUCAUUUACAGAGCUUCAGCUUCAAAGCUUCACUUGCAAAGCUUCACCUACAAAGCUUCAGUGCAGGAUAUACAAAUACCGCCUCCGAACAACCGCCACUUCGGCCCAUAUAUGGAUUCAAUUUGAAGUCUCCAGCCAACAGACUCUAUUGACCGAAGACUUAGGGGACUACAUUAUGUACCAUAUAUUGGGCCUCAACUAGGCCUCAUGAAAAAAAUACUUGGGGGACUUAGCCCAUCACUUAUGUAUUGAGGAGUGAGCCCUUAUUUUAUAAAGGGACUCCCUCACCUUCAUUAGAGAACAACGCCGCCAGCUGAGCAACCGCCUCGCCGCCAGCAUCAACUCUAGCCCAUCACUUAUGUAUUGAGGAGCGAGCCCUUAGUUUAUAAAAGGGACUCCCUCACCAUCAUUAGAGAGCAUCGCCGCCAGCUGAGCAACCGCCUCGCCGCGAGCAUCAACUCUAGCCCAUCACUUAUGUAUUGAGGAGCGAGCCCUUAGUUUAUAAAAGGGACUCCCUCACCAUCAUUAGAGAGCAUCGCCGCCUGCUGAGCAACUGCCUCGCCGCGAGCAUCAACUCUAGCCCAUCAUUUAUGUACUGAAGAGCGAGCCCUUAAUAAAAUGGACUCCUUCACCUUCAAACGUCACAAGCCGAGCCAACCAAGGCAAUAUAAGCCACAAGCAGAGCUGCCUCGCAACAUGUGCUACUUCUAGUUGAGCAUCAUUUCACUUUGAGCACUACCUCAUAUCAAGUACCAGUUCAAGACGACAUCUAGUUACUUUGGCCCACACAUGGAUUGAAUUUCAAGUCUCCAGCCAAAAGACUCUCUUGACUGAAGACUUGGGGGACUACUGUUUAUACCAUAUUUAGGGCCUCGUAUUUAGGUCUCGUAUAAAUACUCGGAGGACUUAAAUGUAAUUAUGUGAUAAAGGAAGGAGCAAAUAUGUAAUAAGUGAGGAGUCCUUAUUCUAUAAAAGGACCAUUCACCCUCACACUUUGGGAGAGCCUGAUUCUCACCUUCAAAGGCCAAUUUCUUAGGCCAUGGAAGGGCUCUCUCACCCUCAGAAGCUCUAUCCAUCUCUCUCCUUCACUUCUCAGAGAAAUACAAUAUAAUCAGUGUGGACGUAGCCCAAACCUUGGGGUGAACCACGAUACAUCUUGUGUUAUUUACAUUUCAUGCAGAUUCACGGUUGGAUUUACGUUGUACCAAGACCUCCUGUUUUAUGCAUCAACAUUUGGCGCCGUACUCUAAUUUGGCAACUAGCCAUUCAUGCCACCAACCAGGUGAUGAGAUGUACAACCCGUACUCUAAAUUGGCAACUAGCCAUUCAUGCCACCAACCAGGUGAUGAAAUGUACAACCCAUACUCUCAUUCAUGCCACCAACCAGGUGAUCAAAAGUAUGCCUAGUACUCC
rnacentral:lncRNA from 1 species